rnacentral:lncRNA from 10 species
GUGGAGGGCCCAUGGGGAUGCUUUUGUGGGCUGGUGCUGGACGUAGGUGAAUCACUCUGUCCAUGCUCCAUUGCCUGGGACUCAAUUGCCUGAGUUCACCGAUGCAAGAUGAGUUGGCAAAUGCAGUAGUCCCUCAUGAAGCAGCAAUUUUUCAGCAAAAUAUCUGUAUUUUGAAAGGGGAGCACAAGUCUUUGGUUGAAAGUUAUCCAUCUACCCAUUCAGGCCCCCACACCGCAGGAAAUAGUUAAAUAUUGUUAUCAUUAGUGAUGAUCAAUCCAGCAAGUAAAAUUUGGAAAUAGCUGUCAUUUUUUACCACAUUAAUAUGUCUCUUCCUUCUACACAGUUUGCCUUGUAGCCUUGCAUCCAGAGAUGUGAUGUGACCUCUCAAACCACGCUGGGACCGUCUGUGUUCUAGAGAGGCAGAGCAAUGCCCCCACAUGGUCAGCAGUGCACCCAACUGAAUGCUGGGCACCUUCUCAUUGCUUAAUUCUCCGUCCAGCUAGCAAGUACCUGAAGUGAUAAACCCGUGAGUGUUCUAACUGGUAGGUUCUUGUGGAAACCACGAAGCUCUCUAAACUACGGACAAGUACAUUUGUUCACUUCAAAUAUUCUCUUGCUAUUCCUUAUGGAAAGAACAUCUUUUUGGACCCUGGAAGACAGUUUGAAUAGAGGGAAGACAUCCUCAGCAGUCCGCAUGGAACACGUUGAUGAAAGUGCUGGGAGCAGCUCCCUGUUGUAGUGAUGCUGUGCCCUUGCAGGGGGGAUAGGAACAGUUGAUAGCUGUUCACAAGCCAUGCUGAGAGGUGGCAUGGCUCAUGGUAGAUCAGAUUCAGAGCCAGAGGGGCUCGGAAAUCACCUGGCCCAGCCCCUCAUCACAAGGUGAGGCAACCUGCAAGGGGUGAUCUAUUUUAGUCUUCAAAAGACAGCUAACCCACCACUGAUGCCUUGUUAAGCUAAGCCCAUGAUUAUUAGGAAGCCAAACAGGUUAAGUGGGACUUCGUCUGUUCCACCAAGCAGAGACCCAAUGUGAAAAUUUCUUGGUGUCUUCCUGACUGAUAUAAACAAAUGUGUACCCACAUUCUUUGACCCACUAAUUUUAAUUAAUUUGGUAGUCUUGAUUCAAGUACAUUUGACAAGGGAAGACAAAGACAAGAAUGUCUUUAUCAAUAUGAACUAUCACUACCAUUUUGGAAUAUUGGUCUAUUUCUCAUCUUUUUUCUCCCUCACACUAUUAAUGUCUAAAUAGGGGACUUGUGUUUCUAGGAUUAAAAAUAAUUCAAUUAUUGAUAUCUGUGUAUGAUCUCAGCCAAUAACUUGUCUAAAGGGAAUAUUUUAUUCCUGGGCUAAGAAUAUAUUUCUGUAUCCAAUGCACAUUUUUAAAACAUAAUUUUCAUUAAGAAAUAUUACACACAUGUAAAGAAAGUAUGGAAAACAUAAAUGUAUGCUUUAAUGAAUUAUUACAUGAACACUAAUGUAACUACUAUCUAGAUCAAGAUGUAAAAUGUUGUCAGUAUGUCUUCUGUCUAACCUCGUCCUGAUGUUAAUGUCUCCUAGCUAAACAUCACCAGGGGCACAAGUUGGGUUUACUAUUUGAAAAGAGAGAACAAAGACCAGGUGGAAUGGCAGAGCUUUCCAGCCGGAGGGUGUUAGAAAGAACCUAUUAUAGGAUUUGACUUGUGCUUGGUAAUUUGGGGUGGGGGGAAUCUAAGGAACUAGGACUGUCUUUGGAUUGGAUCUUCUCAGGAAAUAAGAGAAAAUUUUUAAUUUGAUGCCUCAGUAAGUCUUACCGAGAAAGACGAAGGACUAGAUCUAGGCUGAACCUGUAACUGGUAAAGAUGUAGCCGUCACUCACAUUAUCCAGGAGAAGGGGAUAUUUGCAGUUCUGUGGCUUGGAAAAUGUUCAUAUUUUGUCUGUGUUCAGAUGUGAUUGUUGGGGAAUCUUGUUUUUGCCUUAUUCCAUGACUGAUGUUGUCUGAUGCUGUCUGAUGCUGAUGUUCUCUGACUUGUUUGUCUUCAACAGGAGAGCACCAAGGGCUUACUCAAGGUACAAGGCCAGCCCCUGACCAUAAGGGCAGAAGAGGGUACCAUAUCCCCUUCCCAUGCCCCCCUUCCUGAGAGUAGGGAUGGACUAGCAACCACUGUGUCAUUUAAAUGUACCUUUUGUAAUGACAAGAAUUAAGGUAUUGAAAUUGUCUACUUGAUAGGGAUAGGUUGUACAUCUCCAGCAAGGAUGUCAUAGAAGCAAUGCUGUGUUCUUCUUGGAGUAUCAUAUUAUGUUAACUUCAGUUGCUUGUGCUUGUUGAAGGGCACGGAUAUGAGCCUUCAGGGAGACAUUUCUAAUGGAAAAACUGAAAGGAACGCUACACCUAGGACAUUGGGGGUCAUGCAAUUUUGCUGUGAGAUUCCAUCAGGACUCUGCAACCCAGGGGAACACUCUCUCUAAGAAUCUCCUCACACC